rnacentral:rRNA from 1 species
AUUGAACGCUGGCGGCAGGCCUAACACAUGCAAGUCGAGCGGAUGACGGGAGCUUGCUCCUUGAUUCAGCGGCGGACGGGUGAGUAAUGCCUAGGAAUCUGCCUGGUAGUGGGGGACAACGUUUCGAAAGGAGCGCUAAUACCGCAUACGUCCUACGGGAGAAAGCAGGGGACCUUCGGGCCUUGCGCUAUCAGAUGAGCCUCGGUCGGAUUAGCUAGUUGGUGAGGUAAUGGCUCACCAAGGCGACGAUCCGUAACUGGUCUGAGAGGAUGAUCAGUCACACUGGAACUGAGACACGGUCCAGACUCCUACGGGAGGCAGCAGUGGGGAAUAUUGGACAAUGGGCGAAAGCCUGAUCCAGCCAUGCCGCGUGUGUGAAGAAGGUCUUCGGAUUGUAAAGCACUUUAAGUUGGGAGGAAGGGCAGUAAGUUAAUACUUUGCUGUUUUGACGUUACCGACAGAAUAAGCACCGGCUAACUCUGUGCCAGCCGCCGCAGUAAGAC